UACGUAGGGCGCAAGCGUUAUCCGGAAUUAUUGGGCGGAAAGAGCUCGUAGGCGGUUUGUCGCGUCUGCCGUGAAAGUCCGGGGCUCAACUCCGGAUCUGCGGUGGGUACGGGCAGACUAGAGUGAUGUAGGGGAGACUGGAAUUCCUGGUGUAGCGGUGGAAUGCGCAGAUAUCAGGAGGAACACCGGUGGCGAAGGCGGGUCUCUGGGCAGUAACUGACGCUGAGGAGCGAAAGCUAGGGGAGCAAACGGG
rnacentral:rRNA from 1 species